GACGAACGCUGGCGGCGUGCUUAACACAUGCAAGUCGAGCGGAGCGGCGAACGGGUGAGUACCGCGGGAGUAACUGCCCCCCUCUCUGGGAUAACAGUUGGAAACGGAUGCUAAUACCGGAUAGUGGGGGAUGACGCGCGGCAUAUCCGCUUGUUGGUGGGGUAGUAGCCUACCAAGGCGGUGACGGGUUGCCGACCUGAGAGGGCGACCGGCCACAUGGGUCUGAGGUGCGGCCCAAACGCAUACGGGAGGCAGGAGGGGGGAAUAGUGCGCGAUGGGGGAAGCCCUGAUGCAGAGACGCCGCGUGCGGGAGGACGGGCUUCGGGUUGUAAACCGCUUGCGGCCAUGACGCGGUAGUGGCAGAGGAAGCACCGGCUAACUACGUGCCAGCAGCCGCGGUAAUAC
rnacentral:rRNA from 1 species